rnacentral:lncRNA from 1 species
AUCAGAAUAUUAUGGCAACAGUCCAGAUUUCAGGCCAAAAAUGCCACCAAUUUUCCCUGAAUCUCUUGGGCAAGACAAGCAAAAGAUUCCAAAUAACACGAAUAAAAGGCUUGGGGUGGGGUGCUGGCUGUGGGCUGAGAAGAGACUUAAUCUAAAGGUUUCAAGUUCAAACACAGUAAAUAGAGCGUGGACAGGGCAGACUUGCAACCCCAUUCUGGAGAUUGUGUCUUGUGUUCAUGAGGUCUUCAUGUCUAAGCAUCUAGGUUCUCAACUUUGGGAAACAGGGAGAUGGAUUUUUUGUUCUUGUUGAGUUAGGGCUCACUAUGUCACCUCGGCUGGAGUGCAGUGAUGUGAUCUCGGCUCACUGCAGCGUCAACUUCCUGGGCUUAAGCAGUCCUUCCACCUCAGCCUCCUGAGUAGCUGGGACUACGGGCAUGUGCCACCAUACUGAGCUAAUUUUUAAAUUUUU